GUGGGGAAUUUUGCGCAAUGGGGGAAACCCUGACGCAGCGACGCCGCGUGAAGGACGAAGGCCUUCGGGUUGUAAACUUCUUUUAUAAGGGAAGAUAGUGACGGUACCUUAUGAAUAAGCCACGGCUAACUCUGUGCCAGCAGCCGCGGUAAGACAGAGGUGGCGAGCGUUGUUCGGAUUUACUGGGCUUAAAGGGCGCGUAGGCGGUGAGGCAAGUCUGUGGUGGAAUCCCAGGGCUCAACCCUGGAAUUGCCAUGGAAACUGCUUCACUUGAGUCAGCGAGGGGAGGGCGGAAUUCCUGGUGUAGCAGUGAAAUGCGUAGAUAUCAGGAGGAAGGCCGGCGGCGAAGGCGGCCCUCUGGCGCUGUACUGACGCUGAGGCGCGAAAGCGUGGGGAGCAAACAGGAUUAGAUACCCUGGUAGUCC
rnacentral:rRNA from 1 species